GGUCUCGUUUUGUCACCCAGGCUGGAUACACUGGCACGUUCAAUAGUUCACGGCAGCCUCGACCUCCCGGGCUCAAGCAACUCUCCCAUCUCAGCAUCCCGAGUAGCUGAGACCACAGGUACUCACCACCAUGCCCAGCUAAUUUUUGUAUCUUUUUUGGUAGAGACAGGGUUUCACCAUGUUGCCCAGGUUGCUCUGAACUCCUGGGCUCAAGUGAUCUGCCUGCCUCAGCCUGCCAAAGUGCUGGGAUUACAGGCAUGAGCCACUGCAUGUGGCCCUAUUAACUCCACAUAAGAGAUAUAAAAACCAAUGACAAAGUCACCCAGCCAGUAAGGGAAGAGGCGGAAUUCAAACUUAAGUCAUUUAAUGCCAAGGUCUUCACUGUGUCUCACGACAACUGCAUUUGAUGCGAUCUAACUUGUGUUGACACUGGGAUAGGAUCCAGAGACAAGCAAGACAAGGUCCCUAAUGCCAGAAGUUCAGGGUCUAUCUCGGCAGCACAGCAGAAUAAGGAUGAGCAAGCAAUUAGAAUUCACCUCCACAUCCGAGCCUCAUCCUGUACUAGCUGAGCCUCAGCUCCCUCCUCUGUAAAAUAGAGUACUAAUUCACCAAAAUAAUGGAGCCAUAAGUCAUCAGUCCUCUGCUAUGUGAGGACACAGCAAGAAGGCAGCCACCUGCAAGCGAGAAGAGGCCCUACACCAGAGCCUGGCCAUGGUGGCACCCUGAUCUCAGACUUCCAGCCACCAGACCUGUGAGAAAUCAAUGUUUGCUGUUAAGGCUGCCUAGUCCAUGACAUUUUGUUAUAUAUAGCAGCCUGAACUAAAACAGUAGUGAUUCUGGAAGUCAGGUCUACUAGCCAAACACUGUGAACCACCGAUACAUUUAAUUCCAUUACACAGAUCCAAAGUAGUUUUAUUAUCAAACUAAAGGUACAAAGAAAAGAGUCAAGAAUCUCUAGGCAAUUAAAAAUUAGCAUCACAAUCUAGGUGCGGUGGCUCAUGCCCAUAAUCCCAGUAUUUAGGAUUCCCAGUACUGGGGAGGCUGAGGCGGGAGGAUCACUUGAGGCCAGGAGUUCAAGAUCAGCCUGGGCAAUAGAGCAAGAACCUACCUCUACAAAAAAUAUAAAAACUAGUCAGGCAUCGUGGCAUAAGCCUGUAGUCCCCACUACUUGGGAGGCUAAGGUGGGAGGAUUGCUUGAGCCCAGUUAUUUGAGACUGCAGUGAGCUAUAAUCAUACUACUGCACUCCAGCCUGGACAGCAGAGCAAGACUCUUAAAAAAAUUACCAUCACAAAUCAAUUAUGUUCAAAUCUCUCUGUUAAUAAGUAUUUCUUGAUUGGGCUGUUUAGAUUUUAGCAUCUACGUGGGCAAUACAAGGCAGUUGAGGGUGAAGGAAACUGGCAUCUCAUGGCUGGGGUGAUGCAAAUUAUUACUCUCUGUGGGCAGUUUUGUAGCUUUUACUCAAAAUCUUUAAAAUGUACAUAUUCUUUGGCUCUGCAGUUCUACUUCUGAGAAUCUUUCAUCCCACAGGGUACAAAAAGAUGUUCACCAUAGUGUUAUUUUUAUUACUGGAAAGUGGGACACAAUAUAAACAGCAGUCAUUACGGGACUGGUCCCAUGUUAGCACACAAGAACACCGGGAUGGUAUACAGCGAUUAAUAAUCAUGUGGCUUUCUCUGCUGACAUGGGAAAGUGUCCAUAAUAGUUUGUCAAAUUAAGAAGAUGACAAAACGGUACAUAAUCAUAUUUCUGUAACAUCGUAUGUAUGGGUGUGUAUGCUUGCAGAAAAGUCUACAAAAAUAUUCCCUGGAUUGUUCACAGUGGCUUUAUCUUGGUAGAAGGAUUUCAAGUGAUAUUUUUUCAAACUUUUGAUUUAACAGAUAGUAUUGUGUUAGGAAGCUAAGCAAAAAAACCCUCAAAAAACAAAAAACUAGAGUGGCCAGGAGUGGUGGCUCAUGCCUGUAAUUCCAGCACUUUGGGAGGCCAAGGCGGGUAGAUCGCUUGAGCUCAGAAGUUGGAGACCAGCCUGGCCAACAUGGCGAAACUGUCUCUACAAAAAAAUACAAAAAUUAGCUGGGCGCAGUGGUACAUGUCUGGAAUUUCAGCUACUUGGGAGGCUGAGUCAUGAGAAUCACUUGAACCUGGGAGGCAGAGGUCACAGUGAGCCAAGAUUGCACCACUGCACUCCAGCCUGGGUGACAGAGUGAGAGCCUGUCUCAAAAAAAAAAAAAAAAAGAAAAAACUGGAGUCAAUCUAAAAUUGCUUUAAAGAAAAGUGUUGAGGAAAUAAUAGAACAGGCAGGAAAGAGAUGUGAGAAAAUGGCAAAGGGGAGUGUGAAAGUUUGGCAAACACAGUUUUAAAUUCUUCAUCCUGCUCUUGCGUGGAAAGACUGUCUGCUCUUGCUUCUAAGUGAUAAACAUCUUAGUGGGAAAACCUCUUCCUUUUAUUUACCCAUUGACCCAGUUUUGGUGGUCAAUGACGCCCGCCCUUCCUGACAGAUGUUGGGGCAUGGGCCAGACAGGCCCGCUGGGUACACAAGGAUGCCCGCUCUUCUCCCUUGAUCCUGCAGUGGCUCCCUAGGGCCUCCAAGUAGGGGGAGUAGUUCUGUUGAUGGAGGGGUCACUAUGUACAAAGACUGAGCUGAAAUUUCUUGCACACCUUCUCAGAAUCACCCUAGGAGGGAAGCUUUUUGAAUGACCCCAUUUUAUUGAAAAAGAAACUAAGGCUCACAGAGGUCAAGGGUCUUGUCCAAGAUCACACAGCAAGUAAGCGAAGGACCUCACGCUCCAGUUCAGGUCGGCCUCUUUCUUUUGUUUUUUUGAGACAGAGUCUCGCUCUGUCGCCCAGGCUGGAGUGCAGUGGCAUGAUCUCGGCUCACUGCAAGCUCCGCCUCCCAGGUUCACGCCAUUCUCCUGCCUCAGCCUCCUGAGCAGCUAGGACUACAGGCGCCGCCACCACACCCGGCUAAUUUUUUGUAUUUUUUUUUUAAGUAGAGACGGGGUUUCACCGUGUUAGCCAGGAUCGUCUGGAUCUCCUGACCUCGUGAUCCACCCGCCUUGGCCUCCCAAAGUGCUAGGAUUACAGGCGUGGGACACCGUGCCCAGCCCAGGUCAGCCUGUUUCUAGGACCCAUCACUCUGAACCUCUAGUCCUUGUGCCCUUCGAGGGUGCAGACGGUGGUCUCUGCAUCUCCUUUGCUCCACGUGCCAGGCACAGGUGCCUGGGAACUACAGAAGAGGUUGAAUAGAAGGCUUAACAAUGAGUUUGGAAGUCAGGCACAGAGGGUUUGACUUCCGGGGGCACCCCUUGCCAGCUGUAUGACCCUGGCAAGUCACUCUUCCUUUCUGCGCCUUGGUCCCUGCAUCUAUAAAUUGCUGUAAGGAUGAAAUUACAUAAUUAUAGGUAAAGCACCUGGCACAGUGAACAGUCCACAAAUCUUAGCUAUAAUAACAAUGACGUCAGUUAAGUAACUCACUUAGAAACAACACUGGCCACUGAAGUGGAGGGCCAGUGAAGUGGAGUCAAGUGCUGGGAGGAAGUCCAGGCCAGCAGGCCAACUUUGGUAUACAAAGAUGUGAAAACACGCUUGGCGUGGUGGCUCACGCCUGUAAUCCCAGCACUUCGGAAGGCCGAAGCAGGCAGAUCACCUGAGGUCAGGAGUUCCAGACCAGCCUGGCCAAGAUGGCGAAACUCUGUCUCUACUAAAAAUAUAAAAAUUAGCCAGGCGUGUUGGCGUGUGCCUGUAGUCCCGGCUACUCCUCGGGAGGCUGAGGCAGGAGAAUCACUUGAACCUGGGAGGCAGAAGUUGCAGUGGGCCGAGAUUGCACCAUUGCACUCCAGCCUGGGUGACAGAGCAAGACCCUGUCUCAAAACAAAAAAACAAAGAUGUGAAAACAGCCAACCACCAGGUGGCAAUCCAUGCAAGAGCCCAGCUGCCGGGUGUGCCCCAGCUUCAAGCCAGACAGACCUCAGACAUCCAGGGCCUGGGGAAGGUCCAGCCCCAAAUGGCAGCCAUCUGAUAGCAGCAAAAGAAAACCUGUGGGCCAGGCGCGGUGGCUCACGCCUGUAAUCUCAGCACUUUGGGAGGCCGCGGCGGGCGGAUCACGAGGUCAGGAGUUCAAGACCAGCUUGGCCAAUAUGGUGAAACCCCAUCUCUACUAAAAAUACAAAAAUUAACUGGGUGUGGUGGCGCAUGCCUGUAGUCCCAGCUACUCAAGAGGCUGAGGCAGAAGAAUCACUUGAAUCUGGGAGGCGGAGGUUACAGUGAGCCGAGAUAGUGCCGCUGCACUCCAGCCUGGGCAACAGAACGAGACUGUCUCAAAAAAAAAAAAAAAGAAAACCUGUGAACCUGGGGGCUGGGGAACAGAGCUCUUGCCCAUGCGAAACAUGGGGUGCUGGGAGAGCUCAUGAAAAUGUACAUCAUUCAUGUGCCAUGCGCUUGCUGAGUACUUCCCAUGCAUAAUUCAAUUUCAGCCUCAUGGCAGCCUUUCUCAGUUGAUGUUGUUAUCCCAGUUCAGAGAGGAGUAAACUGAGGCCCAGAGAAGUUAAAAAACUUGCCCAAGGACAUACAGCUAGUGAGUGGUGGAGCUGGGAUUUGAACCCAGGCAGUCUGUUUCCAGAGAACUGCUUCAGGCCCUCCUGCCCCUAUCAAGAGGCCAGGGCAGGGCAGAGCCUACAGGUGGGACUCCAGGGGUCCAGAGCUGGAUGAUCUACACACAGGGGAUCACAUGAUGCAAGCAGUUUCCGUACAAUGCGUUCUAUUUAGGGUGGGUUGUCCUUCUCCAGAAGGAAGAAUUUCUCCCUGGAGACUGGCCAGAUGCAGCCUGGUGGGUGGCAGUGCAUACAUUCCCAUCUCCUCAGACCUACCUACCAAGAACAGCCGCGCUGAUGAGAGUCCUGUGUCACUGGCGAAAUUGCUUCCAAAUUGCCUUCUUCAUUAACUGUGCAAAUUUGCAUCUUAAUUAGGCUUAAUGGAAUACAAUUACCAGACCCCACGUUUCUCUCUCUGAUUUCAAGCAAGGAUGCCACAGAGACAGGCCAGAAGCCAAAAACGUGGGGCUGGAGGGAGCCUGGUUGGGCUCUCCCUGCAGGAAACCUCGCAUCUGGGAAAGGAGGGGCCAGGCGCUACCCAGCGGGGACUGCACCUGGUACAUCCAGGCUCCUGAACUGAGGAGACCAUGGGAUUUGGAAUCAAGCUUUGGGAAGCCUGCCUCUGCCUCUGACCAGUGGAGGACUGACCCUUUCUGAGCCUCUGUUUUCUCAUUUGUAAAUUGGAGAUGGUGAUAACAUUUACUAUGGGGUAGCUGCAGGGAUCAAAGGUGAUCGCGUGUGUGUUAGCACCUGGUAAAGCACCUAACACGUAGUUUGUUCUCUUUCUCCAUGCCCUCCCUUUUUGAGGCCUACAAGGUUGUGCAGAGCUGAUCCCGGCCUUCCCCUUCGGUGAUUCAGUGAGCGUCAGCUUAUUUCAUCCUCCCUUCCAUGCUCUGGCCAUACACACUUCUGAGUCCUGGGAAGGCUCUAAGCUCCUUCCUGUCUUGUGAGCUUUUCAAGUGCUAUUCCCUCUGCUUGGAACACCUGACCCCUGGUUAGUACCUACUCAUCCUUCCAAUCUCAGCUCAAACAGCACUGUCUCCAGGAAGCCUUCCCUAGCCCCAGAAUAAACUCUCCUAACAUCAUUUAUCUAUGGGAUUAUUUAAUAUGUGUCCCUCUCUCUCCCACAGACAGUAAGCUCCAUGAGUGCAGAGAACACUUCUAUUGUGUUCUCUGUUGCAUCUCCAGCUCCUGGUUCAGGGCUUAUCACAUAGUAGGUCCCAUUCAUGUCUGUUUAAUGGAUGGAUAUGAACAUCCCACUGAGCCUCAGCGAAUGUCAAGUGGGAGCCAUAAUCUCAUCCUUAUGGUGCUGUGAAAUCAUUAAAUGAUUUUUGGCACACAGUAGGUGUUUGACGAAUGAGAUACCUAUUCUCCCAUUCCUUUCAAUUAAGGAAAAGUUAGAAGCAGGCAUAUAGGUAGCUUAAAGGACAGCAUGUUCAUGGAUAGGAACCCCCAAUAUUGUCUAGAUGUCAGUUUUUACCAACUUGAUUUAUAGAUUUAAUGCAACCCCAAUCAAAAUUCCAGCAAGUUAUUUUGUGGAUAUAAGCAAACUGAUUAUGAAGUUUAUAUGGAGAGCAAAAGACCCAGAAUAACCAACACAAUAUUGAGGGAGAAGAGCAAAGUUGGCAGACUGACACUACCCAACUUUAAGACUUACUAUAAAGCUACAGUAAUUAAUAUGGUAUUGGUGAAACAAUAAACAGAGUAAUGGAACAGAAUCCAGAAUCCAGAGAUAAAUCGACAUAAAUACAGUCAAGUUGUUUUUGACAAAAGGGCAAAGUCAAUACAAUGGAGAAAAAUUCUUUUCAGCAAAUGGUGCUGGAACAACUGGACAUCCACAUGCAAAAAAGUACAUCUAGAUACAGACCUUACACCCUUCAGACAAAGUAACUCAAAAUGGACCAUAAGCCUAAGCAUAAAACCAAAAUUAUAAAACUCCUAGAAGAUAACACAGGAGAAAACCUGGAUGACCUUGGGUUGGCAAUGACUUUUUAGAUACAAUACCAAAGGCAUGCUCCUUGAAAGAAAUAAUUAAUUGAGAAGCCAGAAGGCAAAAUGGUACAGCCAUUUUGGAAGACAGUUUGGCCGUUUCUCACAAAACUAAAUAUACUCUUACCAUACCAUGCAGCAAUUAUACUCCUUGGUGUUUACCCAAGACUUGAAAACUUGUGUCUACACAAAAAUCUGCACGAGUGUUUAAAGCAGCUUUAUUUUUAUUUAUAAUUGCCAAAGCUUGGAGGCAAGUAAGAUGUCCUUUGGUAAGUGAAUGGGUAAACUAUGGUUCAUCCAGAUAAUGAGAUACUAUUCAAUGUUAAAAAUAAAUAAGCUAUCAAGCCAUGGGGAGAGAUGGAGGAAACUGACAUGCAUACUAUUAAGUGAAAGAAGCCCAUCUGAAAACGCUACGUACUAUAUGGUUCCAACUGUAUGACGUCCUGGAAAAGGCAAAACUUUGGAAACAGUAAAAAGAUCAAUGGUUAGCAGGAUUUGGGCAGGGGAAGGGAUGAAUAGGCAGAUCACAGAUGAUUUUUAGGAGAGUAAAAAAUGCACGGUAUUAGAAUGAUGGAUACAUAUUAUCCAUUUGUCCAAACCCACAGAAAGUGCAACAUCAAGAGGGAGCCCUCAUGGAAACUGUGGCUCUGGGUGACAAUGAUGUGUCAUGUAGGCUCAUCCGUGGUAACAAAUGCACCACUCUGUGGGGAUGUUGACAGUGCAGGGGACUGUGCAUAUGUGAGGACAGAGGGUACAUGUAAAUCUCUAUAUCUUCAGCAGAAUUUUGCUGUGACCCUAAGACUGCUUGAAGAAAAAUAAAGUCUUCGUUAAAACAAAACAAAA
rnacentral:lncRNA from 10 species